rnacentral:rRNA from 1 species
CUACGGGACGCAGCAGUGGGGAAUAUUGGGCAAUGGGCGCAAGCCUGACCCAGCAACGCCGCGUGAAGGAAGAAGGCUUUCGGGUUGUAAACUUCUUUUCUCAGGGACGAAGAAAGUGACGGUACCUGAGGAAUAAGCCACGGCUAACUACGUGCCAGCAGCCGCGGUAAUACGUAGGUGGCAAGCGUUAUCCGGAUUUACUGGGUGUAAAGGGCGUGUAGGCGGGACUGCAAGUCAGAUGUGAAAACUAUGGGCUCAACCCAUAGCCUGCAUUUGAAACUGUAUUUCUUGAGUGCUGGAGAGGC